UACGAAGGGGGCUAGCGUUGCUCGGAAUUACUGGGCGUAAAGCGCACGUAGGCGGUCUUUUAAGUCGGGGGUGAAAUCCUGGAGCUCAACUCCAGAACUGCCUCGAUACUGGAAGACUCGAGUCCGGGAGAGGUGAGUGGAACUGCGAGUGUAGAGGUGAAAUUCGUAGAUAUUCGCAAGAACACCAGUGGCGAAGGCGGACUCACUGGCCCGGUACUGACGCUGAGGUG
rnacentral:rRNA from 1 species